AGUAGUUAGUGAAAAAAAAAUAACAAAACUAUAAAUAGGUAACUUAAAAAAUAACAAAAACAAUGAUUACUCAUUUUUGACACUGUCAAGAAAGUCUUUACACAAAAUAUUUUCAUUUUUUAAAUUCAAAAUUCUUCGUAAUUAUUUAAUAUAUUUAACUUAUUUUAAUAUUUGGUCAUACUCAAAGGGAAUCUUUUGCCACUCUUCCAAUAUGAAUUCUUUGAGCUGAUUGCGGUUUUUGGGCUGUCUUUUUCCCACUUUCUUCUUCAAAUAGGCCCACAAAUAUAUAAAUAUUAUUUUUUAAGCGCGUGCAUUGCUCGACCCGAGUCAAGCUUUCAAGUUGUACAGUGCGAUUCCUUGCCAAAAGAACAGCACAUCAAGAUUUGGCAAAUUGCAAAUAUUUCCUGUGAUUUAAAUACAAAAAAUUGGGUUUUAUCCGUAAGAAAACAUAUUUUACAAAUAUAAAAUCAAAUGCCUUUGUUUGAUUUUCUUUUUCAAAUACAAAAUAACAAUGAAAUAUGAAAUCAUUAUGGAAAAGCCAUGAAGUUUCAUUUAAAAGGACAAC